rnacentral:rRNA from 1 species
UACGUAGGUCCCGAGCGUUGUCCGGAUUUAUUGGGCGUAAAGCGAGCGCAGGUGGUUUAUUAAGUCUGAUGUAAAAGGCAGUGGCUCAACCAUUGUGUGCAUUGGAAACUGUUAGACUUGAGUGCAGAAGAGGAUAGUGGAAUUCCACGUGUAGCGGUGAAAUGCGUAGAUAUAUGGAGGAACACCGGUGGCGAAAGCGGCUCUCUGGACUGUAACUGACACUGAGGCUCGAAAGCGUGGGUAGCAAACAGG